UACAGAGGUCUCAAGCGUUGUUCGGAUUCAUUGGGCGUAAAGGGUGCGUAGGCGGCGCGGUAAGUCGGGUGUGAAACUCUUGGAGCUUAACUCCGAAACUGCAUUCGAUACUGCCGCGCUUGAGGACUGGAGAGGAGACUGGAAUUUACGGUGUAGCGGUGAAAUGCGUAGAUAUCGUAAGGAAGACCAGUGGCGAAGGCGGGUCUCU
rnacentral:rRNA from 1 species